UCUAUAGCAUAGCAGUCUAUGGUCUGUCUGUCAAAAAGCCGUUUGCUGCUGUUGAUGGGUGUCGAGUUUCUAUAAAUUCUCAUUUUAAUCUUCUUACUUUGUGAUUCAGUAUAUUCUCCGUUGACUAAAAAUGGUUUAAUUAUUAUCUCGCGCAAUAAAUUAAGUACUGUGGCAGUUUUCUGACUCUGAUAGAAGUUGUAAACAAAUCCAAAAUGUCCGUUCCUAGCACUGGAUUGAGCAAAUUGAAGAAGAAACAUAUUCGUGUAAAACAUCAAAAAGUGAAACUUUUUCGUGCAAAUGAACCAUUACUAUCUGUAUUUAUGUGGGGUGUAAAUCAUACGAUAAAUGAGCUAAGUCAUGUCACAAUUCCGGUCAUGCUCCUUCCGGACGACUUCAGAGCGUACUCCAAGCUCAAAGUGGACAACCAUUUAUUUAACAAAGAAAACAUGCCAUCUCACUUCAAGGUCAAGGAGUACUGCCCCCUGGUAUUCAGGAAUCUACGAGAGAGGUUCGGAAUCGAUGACCUAGACUACAAGGAGUCGCUCACAAGGUUUAGAAAGCCAGAUAACUACCUGUGUUCGAGGCCCCAGAAGAGGCCUGGCGGCUUGCUGCGGCGGUCGGCGACUGCGCCUAACGGGGUUGCCAACCUGAAAAACGAAACACACCAAGAGAGCAUAUUCCACGAUGCAAGCGAGUUCGUCAAACGAGGGCUGACGAUAAAACGCCUGAGAUCUCAGCCAAUCCCCGAUGACUCGUCAGGCAAGUCGGGGGCGAAGUUCUACCAGAGCUACGACAGACUGUUCAUCCUCAAGACCCUCACUUCCGAGGAAGUGGAGAGGAUGCACUCGUUUCUAAAGCAUUAUCACCCCUACAUAGUAGAGAGGCACGGCAAGACGCUGCUGCCACAGUACUUGGGCAUGUACCGGCUGACCGUGGACGGCAUCGAGCACUACCUCGUCGCCACCAGGAACGUGUUCUCCAACCAUCUUAAUAUACACAGGAAAUAUGAUUUAAAAGGCUCGACAGUAGACCGGGAGGCUUCCGAGAAGGAGUUGGAGAAGGACCUGCCGACCCUCAAGGACAACGACUUCAUCAAGCAAGGAGUCCGCAUCGAUAUCGGUGAUGCUGCCAAAGAGAAGCUGCUUGAAACACUUACUGCUGAUGUUGAGUUCCUAACAAAGCUGCACCUGAUGGACUACUCGCUGCUGCUGGGCAUGCACGAGUGCGGACGCGGCGAGGCCGAAGCCGAGGCCGCCCAACGCGACGCCGACCGCGACUCCGACAACAACGACUCCGACACCGACUCCGACACCGACAACAGGCAUCAUGGCGACAGGUAACCUUACUCAACUGGCGAGGCCGAGGCCGCCCAGCGCGACGCCGACCGCGACUCCGACAACAACGACUCCGACACCGACUCCGACACCGACAACAGGCAUCAUGGCGACAGAUGGGGCUACAACACCCCGCCGGACAGUCCGCGCGGGUUCGCGCGUCAGUCGUCGCUGCGCUACGAGGGCAUCAUACCGGAACUCGACAUCUAUGCCAUACCCAGUCAGGAAAGUGCCCCCAAAAAGGAGAUUUACUUUGUCGCGCUUAUUGAUGUACUGACGCAUUAUGGUGUCAAGAAACAGG
rnacentral:misc_RNA from 1 species